GAUCCUCGGGUGUACCCGAUGGCGAAAAGGCUAAAGGGACAUACAAGGGCGGUAGUAUUUCACAGUUGCAGCAUAUCACUGUCAGGGUACGUAUUUAAUUACAAGUUUUAAUAUGUUUACAAUUAUGAAUUGUAGAAAAUAUAUCACAUUUUUACUUAGUAAUAUUAUGUUUUUUUUUUGUAUAGGAGUCUCAGUCUCAAGGUCAGCCUAUCCAUUGGCUGGAUGUGUACGUGGCCACCUGUGAUGGUCUGCCUGAGGCUAUCCAGAUAGCGGUAAUAAAUUUUAACAACUUGAUCUUGUUUAUCAAUGCUUACAGAA
rnacentral:lncRNA from 1 species